rnacentral:tRNA from 13 species
ACUCCUUUUGUCUAGUGGUUAGGAUCUUCGGCUCGGAACCGAAAGGUCCCCGUUUCUAUCCCGCCGCCAAAGUGGUG